GGCAGUAGUCCAGAAGAUUGUCACUGACACCCUCCACAAGGAGGGUAAGCUACAAAAGGUCAUGGCUAAAGAAGCUGGCUGUUCAGAGUGCUGUAUCCAAGCAUAUUAAUGAAAAGCUCAGUGGAAG